UGUCAACGAGGCCAACUGCCCUUGAUGUC
rnacentral:piRNA from 1 species